rnacentral:rRNA from 1 species
GAUGAACGCUGGCGGCGGGCCUAACACAUGCAAGUCGAGCGGACGGAGGGAGCUUGUGCCUGGAUUCCGCGACGGGCGGGUGAGUAAUGCACAGGAGUCUGCCUGGCCGUGAAGAAUGACGUCAGUACGCGAGCGCGGAUACAACAUCCGUUCAGAGGUUGAACCUCGUGGUUCUUCGGAGAUCACCGGAUCUGCUGACACUAGUUCGGAUUAGCUAGUUGGUUGGGUAAGGGCCUACCAAGGCGACGAUGCGUGGCUGGUCUGAGAGGAUGAUCUGUCACACUGGAACUGAGACACGGUCCAGACUCCUACGGGAGGCAGCAGUGGGGAAUAUUGGGCAAUGGGCGAAAGCCUGACGCAGCCAGGCCGCGUGUGUGAAGAAGGUCUUCGGAUCGUAAAGCACUGUUAGUUGGGAGGAAGAGCAGUAAGUUAAUACGUUGCUGUUUUGACGGUACCAAAAGAAUAAGCACCGGCUAACUACGUG